rnacentral:rRNA from 1 species
UAAGAGGCUGAAACUCGCCUCUUUGAAGUCGGAAUCGCUAGUAAUCGCAGAUCAGCAUGUUGCGGUGAAUACGUUUCCUGGUCUUGUACACACCGCCCGUCAAACCAUGAGAGUCGCCAACACCCGAAGUCCGCUUUGCGGCCUAAGGUGGGGGAGAUGAUUGGGGUUAAGUCGUAACAAGGUACC